rnacentral:rRNA from 1 species
CAGCAGCCGCGGGAACACCGAGGGUGCAAGCGUUAAUCGGAUUUACUGGGCGUAAAGGGCGCGUAGGUGGUUAUGUAAGUGAGAUGUGAAAUCCCCGGGCUCAACCUGGGAACUGCAUCUUAUACUGCGUAGCUGGAGUGCAGUAGAGGGUAGUGGAAUUUCCGGUGUAGCGGUGAAAUGCGUAGAUAUCGGAAGGAACACCAGUGGCGAAGGCGGCUACCUGGACUGACACUGACACUGAGGCGCGAAAGCGUGGGGAGCAAACAGGAUUAGAUACCCCAGUAGUCCCUGUCUCUUAUAC